GACGAACGCUGGCGGCGUGCCUAAUACAUGCAAGUAGAACGCUGAAGGAGGAGCUUGCUUCUCUGGAUGAGUUGCGAACGGGUGAGUAACGCGUAGGUAACCUGCCUGGUAGCGGGGGAUAACUAUUGGAAACGAUAGCUAAUACCGCAUAAGAGUAGAUGUUGCAUGACAUUUGCUUAAAAGGUGCAAUUGCAGCACUACCACAUGGACCUGCGUUGUAUUAGCUAGUUGGUGAGGUAACGGCUCACCAAGGCGACGAGACGUAGCCGAACGGAGAGGGUGAUCGGCCACCCUGGGAGGGAGACACGGCCCAGUCUCCUACGGGUGGCAGCAGUAGGGCAACGGCGGCAAUGGGCGGAAGUUUGACCGAGCAAGGCGGCGGGAGGGAAGAAGGUUUUCGGAUCGGAAAGCUCUGUUGUAAGAGAAGAAAGCGUGUGAGAGUGGAAAGUUCCCUCUGUGACGGUAUCUGACCAGAAAGCGACGGCUAACUACGUG
rnacentral:rRNA from 1 species